UCCAGCCUGGGCGACAGAGCGAGACUCCGUCUCAAAAAAAAGAAUUAGGGGGUGAGAUAGAUGACAGAUGUGGUUAAUUGCAUUAUUCUUCCUGAUUUUUCACGCCUUCCUGUAUGCUUGUCUUAAGAUCUAGCACUUCUGUUCUCUGGGGUUGGAGGAUAUUGUCUUACUGUGUCUCUGUUGGACAUGGCCUUGUGAUUUGCCUCAGCCUUUGACCUUUGAGAUGUAGGUGGAAGCAACAAAGUGACAGUUCCAAGUCCCGACCAUAAGAAGCAUUGUGUAUUUCCAUUUGUGCUUCCAACCGUUCCCAUGACAAGAGCAUACCCUUGGAUAUAGCUGCUACUCUUUCGUCUUGGACCCCAGAAUGAACGUGUGGAUCUCCAGCCUCCCCACUAACCUGUGGGCCUGAGAACAAGAGCUCCCUGUUGCACUGCUGACUGAUACACAUAGUGCAAGCACAGCUGGCCCUCCAUACAGGUGCUUCCCAUUUCUACAGCCGGUUUACUGCGGUCUCCUCAUGAACAUGUUGUCAUCACGCCCAGUGUAACUGCUCCCUCCCUGCAGGAGUUUACUCUGCUACAUGGAUAAGCUAACAAAGGCUCAUCUGGAACUACAGGGUUACAUCUCUAGUGUCAUUGUAUGACACAGUGACUCAGAGAUGAUUUCCUCUUCAGAAAACAGAAGAAUUUUCUGACACAUUUAUCCAGAUUGGAUGAUAUGGAGAUGAACACCAGGACUAUUUUAGAAACUGCAUGUUGAAGACCACUGAGAUAUAAAACUUAGAAAAAAAAAGGUUCUGAAUCAAUGCCUUGUGAAGACAGUUGCACAGCUUUCAGUACUGUUACCAUAUGCGAGUGUUCAUGGGAACAGCCAUGCCUGGAUAAACCAGAUAAACUGAGGAAUCAAAAGGCAUAUUCAGACCAAGACUAAAGAGAACCUUCUUCACCUCCUCCAUACUUCUUCAAUAAGACCACUCAGGACACCUUAACUGCCUUGCUGCCUUUCUGGAAGAGAACAAUCCAAUAAUGAGAACAUCCUUGAGGAUCACAGAGUCCAGAGUCCCUAGAGAGAGGGAGAGCAAUCAUGUCUUCUAGACGGCAAGUUACUUACACAUAUGUCUAGGGAGACAUGAGACAUCAAUCAACACAUGAAAAUGAACAUUGAUUUGGUCCAAAAGGUGGGACAACCCGAAGCAAAAGCGGGACAACUGAAGCAGUAUGUGGCUUCCAUAUCACAGUCUCUUCUGAGGUGUAAGAACACAGCACUCUUCCCCUCUGAAGGAUGUAGCAACGACAUGCCAUCUUGGACACAGACCCAGCUCUCACCCAACACCAAAUCUGCUUGUGCCUUGAUCUUGGACUUACAACCUCCAGAACUGUGAGAAAUAAAUUUCUGUUUGCU
rnacentral:lncRNA from 10 species